rnacentral:rRNA from 1 species
UACGUAGGGUGCGAGCGUUGUCCGGAAUUAUUGGGCGUAAGGAGCUCGUAGGCGGUCUGUCGCGUCGAUCGUGAAAACUUGGGGCUUAACCCUGAGCUUGCGGUCGAUACGGGCAUGACUGGAGUUCGGCAGGGGAGACUGGAAUUCCUGGUGCAGCGGUGAAAUGCGCAGAUAUCAGGAGGAACACCGGUGGCGAAGGCGGGUCUCUGGGCCGAUACUGACGCUGAGGAGCGAAAGCGUGGGGAGCGAACAGG